GAUCGGGGACAACCACUGGAAACGGUGGCUAAUACCGGAUGUGCCGAAAGGUGAAAGAUUUAUUGCCUAGAGAUGAGCUCGCGUCUGAUUAGCUAGUUGGUGUGGUAAGAGCGCACCAAGGCGACGAUCAGUAGCUGGUCUGAGAGGAUGAUCAGCCACACUGGGACUGAGACACGGCCCAGACUCCUACGGGAGGCAGCAGUGGGGAAUUUUCCGCAAUGGGCGAAAGCCUGACGGAGCAAUACCGCGUGAGGGAGGAAGGCUCUUGGGUUGUAAACCUCUUUUCUCAGGGAAUAAGAAAGUGAAGGUACCUGAGGAAUAAGCAUCGGCUAACUCCGUGCCAGCAGCCGCGGUAAUACGGAGGAUGCAAGCGUUAUCCGGAAUGAUUGGGCGUAAAGCGUCCGCAGGUGGCACUGUAAGUCUGCUGUUAAAGAGCAAGGCUCAACCUUGUAAAGGCAGUGGAAACUACAGAGCUAGAGUACGUUCGGGGCAGAGGGAAUUCCUGGUGUAGCGGUGAAAUGCGUAGAGAUCAGGAAGAACACCGGUGGCGAAAGCGCUCUGCUAGGCCGUAACUGACACUGAGGGACGAAAGCUAGGGGAGCGAAUGGGAUU
rnacentral:rRNA from 1 species